rnacentral:rRNA from 1 species
AGCGAACGCUGGCGGCAGGCUUAACACAUGCAAGUCGAGCGCCCCGCAAGGGGAGCGGCAGACGGGAGAGUAACACGUGGGAACAUACCUUUUGGUUCGGAACAACUGAGGGAAACUUCAGCUAAUACCGGAUAAGCCCUUACGGGGAAAGAUUUAUCGCCGAAAGAUUGGCCCGCGUCUGAUUAGCUAGUUGGUGAGGUAACGGCUCACCAAGGCGACGAUCAGUAGCUGGGCUGAGAGGAUGAUCAGCCUCACUGGGACUGAGACACGGCCCAGACUCCUACGGGAAGCAGCAGUGGGGAAUAUUGGACAAUGGGGGCAACCCUGAUCCAGCCAUGCCGCGUGAGUGAUGAAGGCCUUAGGGUUGUAAAGCUCUUUUGCCCGGGAAGAUAAUGACGGUACCGGGAGAAUAAGCCCCGGCUAACUUCGUG